GUUUUUGUAGAACCUUUCUAACCAAGUGUUUGAUGCAUUUCGCCUUACAGCCCCGCACUUUCGCUACUGAAGAGUCUAAAGUAGCGUUUACGCUCACACUACUGUCUGGCAAGGCUGCCUUAUGGGGGACGGCAGUGUGGGAGAAUCAACACCCAUGUUGUGCCUUGUUCCACGCCCUAUCCGAAGAGAUGAAGAGAGUCUUCGACCGGGCCGCAACCGGCAGGGAGGCCGCCCAUAGUCUCUCAGAACUCCAGCAAGGAUCUUCUUCCGUCACCGACUACUCCAUCAAGUUCCGCACCCUGGCGGCCGCGUGCCAGUGGAUAGAGGCGGCGCAGUGGGAUAGAUUCCUGCAUGGGUUAUCCGACUGUGUUCAGCAGGGGAUCUACCUCCUCGAGCUGCCCCCUACUCUCAAUGGACUUAUUGAACUGGCGUUACGAGUUGACGCAAGGUUAAAUCGCCUGGGCCGCCAACCCAGUCCUUCUAGAUCUACCAUCUCUCCUGUUAGGGGGCGCUUGAGUCGAGAGAACACGGUCGGUUCUAUGUGAUCUAUGAUCAUGAGCCCAUGCAGGUGGGUAGAGUUCGGCUGCCCCGGAGGGAGAGGGAACGGUGGAGGUCCCAAGGACUAUGUUUGUACUGUGGAGGCUCUGCUCAUAACACCUACUCAUGCCCGGUAAAAGAGCCAGCCCGAUAGUAAAUUUGAGGCUACUAUCGGGUGGGAUCUCCGCUGAGAAGUCCUCAUCAACAUCAUCCCUCCUUCCAGUGAGACUGCGGUGGAAGAAUCAACAUCAUGAGUGUCAAGCCCUUCUGGACUCCGUAGCCGAAGAAGGAGACCAUGGUUUUGCCAAACGUAUCUGGACCUGAAGGAAGUGUUCAGUAAGUCCCGUGCUGCUCCUCUUCCUCCACAUCAUCCCUACGACUGUGCCAUAGACUUAGUGUCAGGAACACGUUCA